CGAGUGAAGAGGGAAAAGCUCAAAUUUAAAAUCUGGCAGUCUUUGAUUGUCCGAGUUGUAAUUUAGAGAAGUGUUACCCGCGCUGGACCGUGUAUAAGUCUCCUGGAAUGGAGCGUCAUAGAGGGUGAGAAUCCCGUCUUUGACACGGACUACCAGGGCAUUGUGGUGCGCUCUCGAAGAGUCGAGUUGUUUGGGAAUGCAGCUCUAAAUGGGUGGUAAAUUCCAUCUAAAGCUAAAUAUUGGCGAGAGACCGAUAGCGAACAAGUACCGUGAGGAAAGAUGAAAAGAACUUUGGAAAGAGAGUUAAACAGUACGUGAAAUUGCUGAAAGGGAAACGCUUGAAGUCAGUCGCGUCGUCCAGGGAUCAGCCUUGCUUCUGUGAGGUGUACUUCCUGGUUGACGGGUCAGCAUCAGUUUCGACCACUGGAAAAAGGCUUGGGGAAUGUGGCACCUUCGGGUGUGUUAUAGCCCCUUGUCGUAUACAGUGGUUGGGACUGAGGAACUCAGCACGCCGCAAGGCCGGGAUUCGUCCACGUUCGUGCUUAGGAUGCUGGCAUAAUGGCUUUAAGCGACCCGUCUUGAAACACGGACCAAGGAGUCUAACAUGCUUGCGAGUGUUUGGGUGGAAAACCCGAGCGCGUAAUGAAAGUGAAAGUUGGGAUCUCUGUCGUGGAGAGCACCGACGCCCGGCCCUGAAGUUUACUGACGGAGCUGCGGUAGAGCACGUAUGUUGGGACCCGAAAGAUGGUGAACUAUGCCUGAAUAGGGUGAAGCCAGAGGAAACUCUGGUGGAGGCU
rnacentral:rRNA from 1 species